ACGAUUGAUUAAAUAAAAUUUCCCUAUUUUUAAUGAAAUUUUAUCUCGAGUUUCUUGUGACAUAAGUGACCG